rnacentral:rRNA from 1 species
UACAGAGGUCUCAAGCGUUGUUCGGAUUCAUUGGGCGUAAAGGGCGCGUAGGCGGACGAGCAAGUCAGCUGUGAAAGCCCCCCAGCUCAACUGGGGAAUUGCAGAUGAUACUACUCAUCUUGAGGGUAGGCGGAGAGAACGGAAUUCCACGUGUAGCGGUGAAAUGCGUAGAUAUGUGGAAGAACACCGGGUGGCGAAAAGCGGUUCUCUAGCUUACUCCUGACGCUGAGGCGCGAAAGCAAGGGGAGCAA